GAUUAGAGUUUGAUCCUGGCUCAGGACGAACGCUGGCGGCGUGCCUAAUACAUGCAAGUCGAACGAACUCUGGUAUUGAUUGGUGCUUGCAUCAUGAUUUACAUUUGAGUGAGUGGCGAACUGGUGAGUAACACGUGGGAAACCUGCCCAGAAGCGGGGGAUAACACCUGGAAACAGAUGCUAACACCGCAUAACAACUUGGACCGCAUGGUCCGAGCUUGAAAGAUGGCUUCGGCUAUCACUUUUGGAUGGUCCCGCGGCGUAUUAGCUAGAUGGUGGGGUAACGGCUCACCAUGGCAAUGAUACGUAGCCGACCUGAGAGGGUAAUCGGCCACAUUGGGACUGAGACACGGCCCAAACUCCUACGGGAGGCAGCAGUAGGGAAUCUUCCACAAUGGACGAAAGUCUGAUGGAGCAACGCCGCGUGAGUGAAGAAGGGUUUCGGCUCGUAAAACUCUGUUGUUAAAGAAGAACAUAUCUGAGAGUAACUGUUCAGGUAUUGACGGUAUUUAACCAGAAAGCCACGGCUAACUACGUGCCAGCAGCCGCGGUAAUACGUAGGUGGCAAGCGUUGUCCGGAUUUAUUGGGCGUAAAGCGAGCGCAGGCGGUUUUUUAAGUCUGAUGUGAAAGCCUUCGGCUCAACCGAAGAAGUGCAUCGGAAACUGGGAAACUUGAGUGCAGAAGAGGACAGUGGAACUCCAUGUGUAGCGGUGAAAUGCGUAGAUAUAUGGAAGAACACCAGUGGCGAAGGCGGCUGUCUGGUCUGUAACUGACGCUGAGGCUCGAAAGUAUGGGUAGCAAACAGGAUUAGAUACCCUGGUAGUCCAUACCGUAAACGAUGAAUGCUAAGUGUUGGAGGGUUUCCGCCCUUCAGUGCUGCAGCUAACGCAUUAAGCAUUCCGCCUGGGGAGUACGGCCGCAAGGCUGAAACUCAAAGGAAUUGACGGGGGCCCGCACAAGCGGUGGAGCAUGUGGUUUAAUUCGAAGCUACGCGAAGAACCUUACCAGGUCUUGACAUACUAUGCAAAUCUAAGAGAUUAGACGUUCCCUUCGGGGACAUGGAUACAGGUGGUGCAUGGUUGUCGUCAGCUCGUGUCGUGAGAUGUUGGGUUAAGUCCCGCAACGAGCGCAACCCUUAUUAUCAGUUGCCAGCAUUAAGUUGGGCACUCUGGUGAGACUGCCGGUGACAAACCGGAGGAAGGUGGGGAUGACGUCAAAUCAUCAUGCCCCUUAUGACCUGGGCUACACACGUGCUACAAUGGAUGGUACAACGAGUUGCGAACUCGCGAGAGUAAGCUAAUCUCUUAAAGCCAUUCUCAGUUCGGAUUGUAGGCUGCAACUCGCCUACAUGAAGUCGGAAUCGCUAGUAAUCGCGGAUCAGCAUGCCGCGGUGAAUACGUUCCCGGGCCUUGUACACACCGCCCGUCACACCAUGAGAGUUUGUAACACCCAAAGUCGGUGGGGUAACCUUUUAGGAACCAGCCGCCUAAGGUGGGACAGAUGAUUAGGGUGAAGUCGUAACAAGGUAACC
rnacentral:rRNA from 1 species